UUGACGACGCAAAUGAGAAUGAUUAUCUUAACAACGUGGCGCUCGCCAAGCGCCGCUUUCCAUCGCAGAGAAGUCAGGUUCCCUGCCAUGGUUAUCUCCUCAUCAAGCUAGUCACGGUCUUGACGGCGGCUCUACGGAGUCGCCGCUUUUUUUU
rnacentral:sRNA from 1 species